UAACCUAGAACUAUAAUGAUUCUGUCCGUGUAAUAAGAGCAUCAAAGAGAACCUCGGUGAAAGAAGAGUCCUGACUGACAGGCGGUAGGCCCACCAAACCCACGCAAAAUACGAAUUCCCAUGCCUGUCAUUAAUUUUCAUGAAAUGAUGCAGCUUUGAGAAGGCAAACUAGUGGUUGACAAAAGGACAUUCAAGGGAAUGAAAGAUGACAGGAGACAAGGCAAACAUGACGUUUUCACGUGUGUUACACCUGGUUGGGAGCCCGAGGGAAAGAGAAGCUUCGGCUCCCCUCAUCCCCGCUGGCGCUGGCGGCCUCCUCACGCACUCUUCCCUCCGCGCUUGGCCUCCGCUGAGCCAGAGGUGAUGAAAAGGGGAGAGACAGCUCUGCGCCACCAAGUAAUCCUUUUGCCGAUUGCCCUCUGGCUGAGAACUCAGUCACCCAGCUUCAGGGAACUCUAUCUGUUCUACUCCUUUAGUUUAAAAGGAGUUUCCAGCCUGUCUCAUUUCCCCCUUUGAAGUUCUAUUUCAAUGUGUGGCAAAUUCUAGCCAUGACUUAAGAUUGAUUUGGGCCUGGAUGGGAAGGAGGGCAGAGGUGGUGGAUGUGAGGACUUAGAUCCCCUGACUGGAAGCUUCUCUUGACACUCUUUCUGGUUGCGUUUUGGGAUCCAUUUGGGCAAAGUCCAACAUACCUACGUUUUUCUGCUCCACAACCACCAUGUAAUCAUCCACCUCCAUCCUCCCCAUAAUAAAGGUAAUUGUUGUGCCGAUGUCCGUAGGAACCUUGUAUCUAGAAUAUCACUGUACCUGUGAAUGAAGUGCAUCUGUUCCAAGUAGACACAACCUUUUGAAAU